rnacentral:rRNA from 1 species
AUGGAUUUCAUCACUGGGUUGCCUGUUUCAUGCCAGUUUGAUUGCAUCCUGUUGGUUAUUGACAAAUUCAUCAAAUAUGGUCAUUUCAUGGCUCUACGACACCCAUUUACUGCUCAAAACGUUGCAGAUAUUUUCGUGGAUAAUGUUUACAAGUUACAUGGUAUGCCUGAACUCAUUGUAUCUGACAGGGAUCCUAUUUUUACCAGCAACUUCUGGCAGACUCUUAUUAACAGAACUGGCAUUCAUUUGAAUAUGAGCUCGGCUUAUCAUCCGGCUACUGAUGGACAGACUGAGCGAGUUAACCAGCAGGUGGAGUGCUACUUGCGGAGUUUCAUCGGUUCGCACCCUACUAAAUGGAGCAAUUGUGAGUUUUGGUACAACACCAAUUGGCAUUCUGCUGUGGUGAAAUCACCAUUUGAAGUUUUGUAUGGACAACCUCCCAGGUAUUUUGGUAUUUCUCCAUCAGACACAAUUCCUCCUUUGGACAUUCAACAGUGGCUGCAAGAUCGACAGGUUGUAGUUGAGUCUGUCAGACAACACUUGCUACGAGCUCAACAGAGAAUGAAACAGUUGGCAGAUAAACACAGGACUGAGAGAACUUUUGAUGUGGGCGAGCUGGUUUUUCUUAAGUUGCAGCCUUAUGUCCAGUCUUCCGUGGUGCACCGAGCGAACCAUAAGUUAGCUUACAAGUACUAUGGUCCUUACAAGAUAGUGGACAGAAUUGGGGAGGUGGCUUACAAGCUAGAACUUCAGGAGGGCAGCAGGAUACACCCAGUUUUCCAUGUUCAUGUCAGUGUACUUCAGAGGCGUGUUUGA